GACGAACGCUGGCGGCGUGCUUAACACAUGCAAGUCGAACGGUAAGGCCCUUCGGGGUACACGAGUGGCGAACGGGUGAGUAACACGUGGGUGAUCUGCCCUGCACUUCGGGAUAAGCCUGGGAAACUGGGUCUAAUACCGGAUAGGACCACUGCCUGCAUGGGUGGUGGUGGAAAGCUUUUGCGGUGUGGGGAUGGGCCCGCGGCCUAUCAGCUUGUUGGUGGGGUCAUGGCCUACCAAGGCGACGACGGGUAGCCGGCCUGAGAGGGUAACCGGCCACACUGGGACUGAGAUACGGCCCAGACUCCUACGUGAGGCAGCAGUGGGGAAUAUUGCACAAUGGGCGCAAGCCUGAUGCAGCGACGCCGCGUGAGGGAUGACGGCCUUCGGGUUGUAAACCUCUUUCAGUAGGGACGAAGCGCAAGUGACGGUACCUACAGAAGAAGGACCGGCCAACUACGUGCCAGCCGCCGCUGUAA
rnacentral:rRNA from 1 species